rnacentral:tRNA from 5 species
GCCGGGGUCGCCUAGCUCGGUAGGGCGGAGGCCUGCUAAGCCUCUGGGGUCCCACCCCGCGCGGGUUCAAAUCCCGCCCCCGGCGCCA